AACGAACGCUGGCGGCAGGCCUAACACAUGCAAGUCGAGCGCGCCCUUCGGGGUGAGCGGCGGACGGGUGAGUAACGCGUGGGAACGUGCCCUUUGGUUCGGAAUAGUCCUGGGAAACUGGGGGUAAUACCGGAUACGCCCUUUUUGGGGAAAGAUUUAUCGCCGAAGGAUCGGCCCGCGUUGGAUUAGGUAGUUGGUGGGGUAAUGGCCUACCAAGCCGACGAUCCAUAGCUGGUUUGAGAGGAUGAUCAGCCACACUGGGACUGGGACACGGAUCCGACUCCUACGGGCGGUAGCAGUGGUGAAUCCUAGACAAUGGGGGGAACCCUGAUCUAGCCAUGCCGCUUGAGUUAUGAAGGCCCUAGGGUUGUAAAGCUCUGUCAGCUGGGAAGUUAAUGACGGUACCAGCACCAGCAGCCUCGGAUCUGAGCCUGCCUCCAACUGUAGCUACAC
rnacentral:rRNA from 1 species